rnacentral:rRNA from 1 species
CAGGCCCUAUGGGGCGCAGCAGGNGAGAAAACUUUGCAAUGUGCGAAAGCACGACAAGNUUAGUCCGAGUGAUUUCUGCUAAAGAAAUCUUUUGCAAGUCAUAAAACCACUAGUGAAUAAGGGGUGGGCAAGUUCUGGUGUCAGCCGCCGCGGUAAAACCAGCACCUCAAGUGGUCAGGAGGAUUAUUGGGCCUAAAGCAUCCGUAGCCGGCUCUGUUAGUUUUCGGUUAAAUCCAUGCGCUCAACGUAUGGGCUGCCGAGAAUACUGCAUAGCUAGGGAGUGGGAGAGGUAGACGGUACUCGGUAGGAAGGGGUAAAAUCCUUUGAUCUAUCGAUGACCACCUGUGGCGAAGGCGGUCUACCAGAACACGUUCGACGGUGAGGGAUGAAAGCUGGGGGAGCAAACCGGAUUAGAUACCCGGGUAGUCCCAGCUGUAAACGAUGCAGACUCGAUGAUGCAUUGGCAUAUAGCCAGUGCAGUGUCGCAGGGAAGCCCGUUAAGUCUGCCGCCUGGGAAGUACGUACGCAAGUAUGAAACUUAAAGGAAUUGGCGGGGGAGCACCACAAGGGGUGAAGCCUGCGGUUCAAUUGGAGUCAACGCCAGAAAUCUUACCCGGAGAGACAGCAGAAUGAAGGUCAAGCUGAAGACUUUACCAGACAAGCUGAGAGGUGGUGCAUGGCCGUCGCCAGCUCGUGCCGUGAGAUGUCCUGUUAAGUCAGGUAACGAGCGAGAUCCCUGCCAUUAGUUGCUAUCAUUAUUCUCAGGAGUAGUGGAGCGAACUAGUGGGACUGCCGUUGUUAAAACGGAGGAAGGAAGGGGCUACGGCAGGUCAGUAUGCCCCGAAACUCUGGGGCCACACGCGGGCUGCAAUGGUAGUGACAAUGAGUUCCAAACUCGAAAGAGAGUGGCAAUCUCCAAACACUACCACAGUUAUGACUGAGGGCUGUAACUCGCCCUCACGAAUAUGGAAUCCCUAGUAACCGCGCGUCAUUACCACGCGGUGAAUACGUCCCUGCUCCUUGCACACACCGCCCGUCGUUUCAUCGAAGUUUGCUUUUAGCGAGNUGAUGUUUAAUUGG